AAACUGCUCUUCGCCCGAAAUUACUUGUCGUAGAAAUGGGUGUAUCUAAAUGUAUCUUAGUUUUAGAUGCAACCUGUUUUAUUCAUUUUUGUGACCAGUAAUUUGGGACGAAGGGAGUAUCAU
rnacentral:pre_miRNA from 1 species